UCGUACUCGAGUUUUCUUUCUUCUUCACGGGAAAAUCCCAAAAUCGCAGACACGAACGCUUUUGCUUCAUGAUCUGUGAAGAGAAAGAUAAAAACAGAGAGAGAGAGAGAGAUAGAGAUCGGAGAGAAAAUCGGAUAAUCUAUUUUCGUUUUGCGGUGAAGCCUUUUUUUACUGUGUUUCGCUUUGAGCUUUAGUUGAGCAGAAGAAGAAGAAGAAGAAGAAGAGGUUUUAGUUGGCGAUUUGUAGUUUUCGGUUGGAUUCGGCGAUGGAUGGCAGUGAAGGAGGAGAAGGAAGCGUGAAAAUGGAGGAAUGUAAGCAAACUCUGGUCUAUAUGUGGGGUUAUCUUCCCGGAGCUUCUUCCGAGAAAGCUCCGAUACUGUCACCGAUGCCUGUCAGUCUACCGGAUAUGAUUUCCGGCAAAGAUUCAUGGAGAGACGUUAGUGGUGGCGGUUGUGGAUUCGCCAUGGCUAUUUCAGGGUCUGGGAAGCUUAUAACAUGGGGAUCAACGGACGAUGAAGGCCAAAGCUAUGUUACUUCCGGGAAGCAUGGGGAGAUUCCAGAGCCUUUUCUUCUUCCAACUGAGGCUUCAGUAGUGAAGGCAGCUGCUGGAUGGGCUCACUGUGUUUCGGUCACAGACAUUGGAGAAGCAUACACGUGGGGGUGGAAAGAAUGUAUUCCCUCUGGAAAACUUAUUUGCGACUUGGUUUCACUAGGAAGCUUCCAGAAGGACACUUCAGCAAAACAUGUUCCAUCGGUAUCCGAACAAGUAAGUCAAAGGUCCGAGGCCUCUAGUUUGACAAGUGGGGAGAUUUCUCCUGGUGACAACAAAAAGGCUGGAGAAGAAAUUGUGAAGCGAAGAAAACUAUCAUCUGCUAAACAAGAAUCUGAUGGCUCGGUAGCUGCUGAUGAAUUCUUCAUGGCAUCUCCUAGUAUUGUUAAUCUGGGUCCUGGAGUGAAGAUCACCACAGUUGCUGCAGGUGGGCGUCACACUUUGGCACUUUCAGAUAUGGGACAGGUAUGGGGUUGGGGCUAUGGAGGCGAAGGACAACUAGGCUUGGGCUCACGGGUAAAGAUGGUGUCUACUCCUCAUGUCAUACCUUGCAUUGAGCCACCUGUUUCGGGGAAGGAUAGAUCUUCAGCAAUUGCUCUAGAUGGCAAGACUCUAUCGGCACAAUUUUCUAAAGCUCCAGGAAGUUAUGUGAAGGAAAUAGCUUGUGGUGGUCGGCAUAGUGCAAUAAUAACUGAUGCUGGGGUGCUACUUACUUUCGGCUGGGGACUUUAUGGACAGUGUGGGCAUGGGAGUACACAAGAUCAGCUGAGGCCAACUUGUGUGAAUUCGCUAUCGGGUAUUCAAGUGAAAACAAUGGCUGCAGGACUAUGGCAUACUUUAUGUAUCUCUGUUGAGGGAAAUGUGUACACAUUUGGUGGGAAUCAGUUUGGACAGUUGGGAACUGGAGUUGACCAAAUUGAGCAUGUAGGUGACGACAUACUAAGGGAAUUAAGGACAACAUGCUAUGUCCAAUAGAGUGUGGUUUAACCCUUGCGAUUUCUAAGCUUUUGAGAGAUUGACACUAGAAAGCCAGUAUUUUUGGUUUCUUAACUGCUCCCGUUCGAGUUCUUUUUUGAGUUUUCAGUUGUCUGAGCUCCUUUUUUGUUUCUUUAUCCUUUUGUCUUAAUGCUUGGAAACAUUAUGUUGGGUACAACUCAUCUCCUGUCUCCACUAGCGCUUCUGUUUCCUAUUUCUUGAAUUAGACUUUUAUAUGCAGAGGAAGUGUUUAGUUUACGCUUUUGUAAUGUUUGUCAUGUGGCUCAGACUCUACCUAGACGUUUAGACUCUUCUAGUUUGGAAAGUAAGCAUGCCAAGAUAGCAUCCUGCGGGGCUCGCCAUAGUGUCAUACUGACAGAGGAAGGCCAGUUAUUUAGCUGGGGAUGGAACAAGUAUGGCCAAGUAUGGAUCU